rnacentral:rRNA from 1 species
AGCGAACGCUGGCGGCAGGCCUAAUACAUGCAAGUCGAACGGCUCUUCGGAGCAGUGGCGGACGGGUGAGUAACGCGUGGGAAUGUGCCCUUUGGUACGGAACAACACAGGGAAACUUGUGCUAAUACCGUAUGUGCCCUUCGGGGGAAAGAUUUAUCGCCAUUGGAGCAGCCCGCGUUGGAUUAGGUAGUUGGUGAGGUAAAGGCUCACCAAGCCUACGAUCCAUAGCUGGUCUGAGAGGAUGACCAGCCACACUGGGACUGAGACACGGCCCAGACUCCUACGGGAGGCAGCAGUAGGGAAUCUUGCGCAAUGGGCGAAAGCCUGACGCAGCCAUGCCGCGUGUAUGAUGAAGGUCUUAGGAUUGUAAAAUAACUUUCACCGGGGAAGAUAAUGACGGUACCCGGAGAAGAAGCCCCGGCUAACUUCGUGCCAGCAGCCGCGGUAAU